rnacentral:rRNA from 1 species
GACGAACGCUGGCGGCGUGCCUAAUACAUGCAAGUAGGACGCAGUUGCGAACGGGAGAGUAACGCGUAGGUAAAUACCUAUUAGAGGGGGAUAACUAUUGGAAACGAUAGCUAAUACCGCAUACUAGUAGAUGGACCUGCGUUGUAUUAGAUAGUAGGUAGGGUAAUGGCCUACCUAGGCAACGAUCCAUAGCCGACCUGAGAGGGUGAUCGGCCACACUGGGACUGGUCAACGGCUCAGACGCCGGCGGGGGGCAGCAGUAGGGAAUUAUCGGCAAUGGGGGGAACCCUGACCGAGCAACGCCGCGUGAGUGAAGAAGGUUUUCGGAUCGUAAAUCUCUGUUGUGAAGGAAGCGUUACUUAACCAGAAAGGGACGGCUAACUACGGGCCAGCAGCCGCGGUAAUUC